rfam:Candidatus Methanosphaerula palustris E1-9c, complete genome.
GAGAGGGAGAGUGUGGCUGACGGUGGCGUAAGCUGCUGAGGAAAGUCCUCCCACCGACCGGAUGCGCAGCCGUAUGCAAGUAUGGGUGGCGAGAGUCACGGCAAUGGCACAGAAACGAUACGGCCUUCCCUGAGCGAUGAUACGGCCGAGCCUCUUGGCGAGACGGAUGCCCUGCAUCCUAUUAACCCGCUGAGCAGAUGACGGGAAGGAUACGAUGAAACGGUGAAUCCCUGCGGGUGCAAGUCAGAACAGGGCGCGUGGAGAGUCCGGUCUCUGCCCGGGUAUGACGCAUAGCUGAAUGCCACAAUGAACAGAAGGAGGCUUACUCCUCCCACUC